GAGGCGGUGUCGUGGUGAUUGUGUUGGAAGAGGGAGGCAACGUGUUCUUGUACCGAGAAACGCGGAACAGCAAGAUGGACAGCCGCAGACACGGAGAGAGAGACAAACGGAAUUCAAUGGGAAGGGAAGCAAGGGAAGAAGACAGGUCGAGGUUAUCAUCAUCAUCAACAGAGUCAUCGUCGUCAGAGUCCUUCAGCGACAGUAGGGAGGAGGCCGCAAAACAUCUACUGGCCGAAGAUGUGGAGACGAAGGAGAAGAGAGGAGGAGAGGGAGAUGAAGAAAAUAAUGGAGGAGAAGGAGGAGGAGAUGAGGAUCCUGAAGAAAAAGUUGAAUGAAAAGGAAACUGAAAAGAUACUGCUUGAACAUCGGAUAAGAGAGAUGGAGAGAAGGUUGAAGAUUGAGAAGGAUGCGGAGGUGGAUGAGGCGAAGAGACGGAUGGCGAAGGAGAGGAGGGAAGAGUGGAUGGCGUGGGAGGAGGAGAAAACAAGAAGAGGACAUCGCUGGUGGAGGCGUGGGCGAAGGAGAAGGCCAAGCUGGAGGAGCCGAAUGGAUCUUUGGGGCGGAGAGCAGAUCACUACCAGGGAGCAUCUAUUGAGCUGCAAGAGAGGAAGGAGGAACUCGAGGGUGACAUGCGCCGGUUGGAAGGAAGGAACGAGGCGCUCUUGGAGAACUAUAAAGAACUUGAGUAUUUUAGGAAGCGCUGCGUGGCCAUCCUGAGGGGCGAGAGGGUGGACACAGACACGGUACGAGAGUUUAUCCAAGACGCGGCUGGCGAGGACGAGCUGCAGCUGCACGUGGCCGUCUCCCUGGGCUUGGACAGGCACGUGGAGGGUUUAUUGCGAAGACUCAACGGCACGGAGCGGAACGACAGGCAUGAGUAACACAGCCUUUGGGAACAAGUUGGGGGAGGCGGUGGCUGAAUAGAUAACGUGA